GUAAAGGUUUCGACAGGGAUUCUGAAGCUGGUGAAGCGAGUCGCAGGGUGAUGCGUUAAAUUCCAAACUUAAAUUUAAACGCUAACGAUAAUUUAGCUUACGCAGCCUAAUCGCUGCGAGUCCGCCUGAUUGCACCUACACGAACAGAUACGGGCUUCAAACAUGUAGGAAACGACUGCGCAUAAGCUUUGCUGCGUAGGACGUAUCAUGAAGCUACUAAAGCCGUAAGGGUGUCUCUUCCCGUGCGGUGGAGGGAAUGUCAGUAAAGUGACUACACUCGUAGAAGAACAGGGGAUGGGUUUUUGGACACGGGUUCAAUUCCCGUCUAGUCCAC
rnacentral:tmRNA from 1 species